rnacentral:rRNA from 1 species
CCAGACUCCUACGGGAGGCAGCAGUGGGGAAUAUUGCACAAUGGGGGAAACCCUGAUGCAGCGACGCCGCGUGAGCGAUGAAGUAUUUCGGUAUGUAAAGCUCUAUCAGCAGGGAAGAAAAUGACGGUACCUGACUAAGAAGCCCCGGCUAACUACGUGCCAGCAGCCGCGGUAAUACGUAGGGGGCAAGCGUUAUCCGGAUUUACUGGGUGUAAAGGGAGCGUAGACGGCUGUACAAGCCAGAUGUGAAAGCCCGGGGCUCAACCCCGGGACUGCAUUUGGAACUGCGCGGCUGGAGUGCAGGAGGGGCAGGCGGAAUUCCUGGUGUAGCGGUGAAAUGCGUAGAUAUCAGGAGGAACACCGGUGGCGAAGGCGGCCUGCUGGACUGCGACUGACGUUGAGGCCCGAAAGCGUGGGGAGCAAACAGGAUUAGAUACCCCAGUAAC